AGCGAACGCUGGCGGCAGGCUUAACACAUGCAAGUCGAACGCCCCGCAAGGGGAGUGGCAGACGGGUGAGUAACACGUGGGAACGUACCCUUUGGUUCGGAAUAACUUGGGGGAAACUCAAGCUAAUACCGGAUAAGCCCUUAUGGGGAAAGAUUUAUCGCCGAAAGAUCGGCCCGCGUCUGAUUAGCUAGUUGGUGAGGUAAUGGCUCACCAAGGCGACGAUCAGUAGCUGGUCUGAGAGGAUGAUCAGCCACAUUGGGACUGAGACACGGCCCAAACUCCUACGGGAGGCAGCAGUGGGGAAUAUUGGACAAUGGGGGCAACCCUGAUCCAGCCAUGCCGCGUGAGUGAUGAAGGCCCUAGGGUUGUAAAGCUCUUUUGUGCGGGAAGAUAAUGACGGUACCGCAAGAAUAAGCCCCGGCUAACUUCGUGCCAGCCGCCGCCGUAA
rnacentral:rRNA from 1 species